GAUAGAUAGAUAUAUUCACAGUUACUCUCCUGACCGAAAACAGUACCGAAUCCUACUGUUUUAGGUUACGUUUUCUACGUCGGUUACCUUUCCUACGUACGACGGUUACGUUUCCUACCCAGCAGUAGGUUACGCUUAGGUUACGUCGGUUACCCACGACAUUGCGGUUACGUUUUCUACGUCAACGCGCAUGUGCAAAUAUUAAAAAUAAAUCAUAAGGGCGGCUUGCGGCGUGAAAGAUACUCUCAGUUAAGGAUUGUUGUUGUUGUUUUUUAAUCAUAUCAAUCAGAUAUAAGAAACAGAAAAGCUUUUUUUCUUUGCGAAAUCUUCAAGAAUCAUUUGUAUUGGUUGGUACCAUAACAGUUAUUACAAGGAAUGGGACUGAUGGCAUGGCCUAUCCUAUUAUCUUGGGAAAAAAAUGGUAACAAUUGGAAAGUAAGUAUGGCACACAUUGUUACUUAUUAUAAUUUUUUAUAACAAAAAUAAGGAAAUUUUCAGCUAGGUUUUUUGUCAAAUUUUAUAGUGAUGUUGAUAGUGACAUCAGGGUACGAAGUAAAAAUGUUGAGGCGCUUCAUUGCAAAUUAAAAGUCAUUGGAAAAAACGAUGAAAGUCUUUCUUUUAUUGUCAGGUCUAUAAUCAGGUUUUGAUAUUGUUUGUUUCAGGUUCAAACAUCGUCUACGUCAAAUAGUUUAGAAAGUAUGUUGAUGAGAGAAAAUAUCAGGUUGAAGAAGAAAAUUUCAGAGCUCGAGAACCAACUUUCAACAGACUCUACAAGCUUACCUAUAGAAAAAAACCGCAAAAAAUGUCCAUUACAGUCAUGUGAUAGUUGUGUUACAAAUUUAUCUCGGCACAUGAUAGAAGUACACUAUUGGCCCCAGAGUAAGGCAAAAUAUUGCGUUGGCAUAUACGGAUUGAGGAAACCAGGUGUUAGGUUUUAGGUUGUCGAAACAAAAGAAUGAGUUUGCACCUCCAAGACGUCCACAAACUAUCAAAAGGACCUUACUAUUAUAGUAUGUUGAAAUUAGCCAGGGUGUGUGACGUUGCAUCAAACAACGAAGUACACAUAUGACAUCCAUCCCUGCCAAGCAUGUCGCCACUGAUGAUCGCCACUGAUCCGAAGUAACAGAUUCGGAUAGUGACAUGGAAGAUGACGAAGUGGUUGACUCUGCUGAAAUUUUAGAGAGGUUUGUGACAUAUAAAAUUUCAGUUGAUGGAGGGAAGAGUUGACAAAAGAGUGCUAUUCAGUCAAAGCAGCAAUUGAGAGAUAUUUGGGCAGCUUUGGAUUCCUCAUAUCCCAGUGAUUUAGUCAGAAAAUAUAAAAUUCGCGACACCUUUUUGACAACGUAUGCCGAAAAGACAAAGGAAUACAAAGCUUUAACCAUUAAACGGUAUAUUUUGUCACUGCCACACUUCUAUGACUUUCUCCUUACUGAGGAGAUCCAUCUACCUGGAAUAGCACCAGAUAUGAUUUUAAGGAUGAAAGUUAGUGUAUCUCGAUGGAGCAAAUCUAAUAAUGGAACGGUAGAGAUACAGCAGCUUGAGAGACAGAUGGAGGAGCAACAAGUGCUUAUCACGCCUGAGCAGAUCCAACGGUAUGAGGAGUCUGCCAGUGCAAAGGAGGCUAUCUCGAUAAUUAAAAAUUUUCGUAGCCCUUACCGAGAAAACACCUUGUCUCGUCAAGAAUAUGCGUGUAUACGGGAUUUUCUCAUAACGGAAAUAACUAUAAUUAAUUGUCAGAGGUCUGGCGUACCUAGCAACAUGAACAUCGAUGAGGUGAAGGCUGCUGUAUUUCGUGAUGGUAAAUAUAUUAUUAAAGUAAAACGUCACAAGACAUUUAGGAAACACGGUCCUGUUAAUCUGUGUACGAGAGAAACCUUGUACCAACAGCUCUUAAUUUUUUUCGAUUCAAUUCGCAGUCAGAUACACAGUGACUUUGAAAAUGUUUUUGUUUCAUAUAAUGGCAAGAUUUUAGAAUCUGGAGCAAUAUCGAAACAAAUUAAUAGCACUUGGAAAAGGUCCGGUGUUUAUGGUGAAAACGAUCCGCCAGUGAGGAAAAACAUCACUUCAAAUAUAUUUCAAAAGUCUGGAUCCACCAUCAUUGAAGAUAAAAAUCCAAGUGAAGCUUCAUAUGUUGCUAGCCUGUUGACGCACUCUGAGAGCACCUCAAAAAAUACUACCGUUUGAUAGAAAAGGAAAAGUAUGCCCUUAAGGGUACAGCUGCCUUGGAGGAAACUUUCAACAAACGUGGCAAAACAAAUAUUUACGAAAAAAGAAAACGUGGACUGAUGCCGAAGUCGGGGAGUUGGAGACUCUAUUUAAGCAGUUUUUGACUGCGAAAUCUGUCAGAAUUGGCGAUGUACGUAAUCUACGUGAAAAGUUUAUCCAUCUUAUUCAUUUGUCUGAUAGGCAGAUUUUAGAUAAAUUGAGAAGCUACUGGCGCUAUGGAGUCACGGAAGAGGAGAAAGGUAGGUUAAAACUAUCGCAUUUUUCUUCUUAUAUGUUGUAUUGGUGACUUUUAUUUGUUUUACGUUAGUAUAAAUAUAAAGAUUUUCAUGAAAAUUGUGCCUGUUUUUUUAUUAAAUUUAAAAGAAUUCAUUUCCUAUCUUUUAAUAGAUGGUAAUGAUGCUGUUGACAACUCAUGCUCCUCUAUUGCAACUGAAUACAAACAAUCUGUGUCAAAAGGAGUAGAUAAGCAUCAUGGUGAAAACGAAGAUGUUGACGAAGAAAGUGAAGAUGAUGAUUAUGAAAAUACAGUUUCUGGGAAGGAAAAAAUUUUCUCGAAUGUUGAAGCUAACAUCAUUGUCGAAAAGUGUGCCGAGAUCAUUCGUUCUGGACCAAUAUCCAUCAAUAGAGUAGAACGUGCACUCGAAUCAAGCUCUGUUGGAAAACGUGUACUACAAAACUUUGACAUGUCGCAAAUACAAACAAGGCUUACAUAUGAGCGCUUGUAGUACAGAAAAAGUUCCAGAAGAAAGUGUCUCUAAACUGUUUUAUUUCUACCUUUACUGUACGAAACAUUUAACUAUAAUUUGGUGUAGUUU